UACGAAGGGGGCUAGCGUUGUUCGGAUUUACUGGGCGUAAAGCGCACGUAGGCGGCUUGUUAAGUCAGAGGUGAAAGCCUGGAGCUCAACUCCAGAACUGCCUUUGAUACUGGCAGGCUCGAGUAUGGAAGAGGUUGGUGGAACUCCGAGUGUAGAGGUGAAAUUCGUAGAUAUUCGGAAGAACACCAGUGGCGAAGGCGGCCAACUGGUCCAUUACUGACGCUGAGGUGCGAAAGCGUGGGGAGCAAACAGG
rnacentral:rRNA from 1 species